AUUGAACGCUGGCGGCAGGCCUAACACAUGCAAGUCGAACGAGUGGCGGACGGGUGAGUAAUGUCUGGGAAACUGCCCGAUGGAGGGGGAUAACUACUGGAAACGGUAGCUAAUACCGCAUACCAUCGGAUGUGCCCAGAUGGGAUUAGCUAGUAGGUGGGGUAACGGCUCACCUAGGCGACGAUCCCUAGCUGGUCUGAGAGGAUGACCAGCAACACUGGAACUGGAACACGGGCAAGACUCCGACGGGAGGAAGCAGGGGGGAAGAUCGGGCAAGGGGGGCAACCCGGACGCAGACAUGCGGCGUGAAGGAAGAAGGCCUUAGGGUUGUAAAGUGCUUUCGGUAGCGAGGCGUUAACUACAGAAGAAGCACCGGCUAACUCCGUGCCAGCAGCCGCGGUAAUUC
rnacentral:rRNA from 1 species